rnacentral:rRNA from 1 species
UGGAGAGUUUGAUCCUGGCUCAGGAUGAACGCUAGYGGCAGGCCUAAUACAUGCAAGUCGGACGGUAKGGAUUCUUUCGGGGAUCCUGAGAGUGGCGCACGGGUGCGUAACGCGUAUGCAACCUACCUUAUACUGGGGGAUAGCCCGGGGAAACCCGGAUUAAUACCSCAUGGUAUYRWWKGAYGGCAUCRUUWKKYRAUUAAAGAUUUAUCGGUAURAGAUGGGCAUGCGUAGGAUUAGCUAGUUGGCGGGGUAACGGCCCACCAAGGCGACGAUCCUUAGGGGUUCUGAGAGGAAGGUCCCCCACACUGGCACUGAGAUACGGGCCAGACUCCUACGGGAGGCAGCAGUAGGGAAUAUUGGGCAAUGGCCGGAAGRCUGACCCAGCCAUGCCGCGUGCAGGAAGAAGGCGUUAUGCGUUGUAAACUGCUUUUAUACGGGAAGAAAAAGCAACUGCGGUUGAAAUUGCCGGUACCGUAUGAAUAAGCACCGGCUAACUCCGUGCCAGCAGCCGCGGUA